rnacentral:rRNA from 1 species
UACAGAGGGGGCAAGCGUGGUUCGGAAUUACUGGGCGUAAAGGGCGCGUAGGCGGCCUGUUAAGUCGAACGUGAAAUCCCCGGGCUCAACCCGGGAACUGCGUCCGAUACUGGCAGGCUUGAAUCCGGGAGAGGGAUGCGGAAUUCCAGGUGUAGCGGUGAAAUGCGUAGAUAUCUGGAGGAACACCGGUGGCGAAGGCGGCAUCCUGGACCGGCAUUGACGCUGAGGCGCGAAAGCCAGGGGAGCAAACGGG